GCACUCUGCCAUGUUCCUGCCAUGAUGAUAAUGGAUUGAACCUCUGAAACGCUACCUUCCCAGUUCACCACCUAUCAUCACCUGGACCCCCUGGCUGCAGAAGUGUCCCUGUUCUGCUGGGCUCCUGCCUGUGAAGCACACAGCUACUAGGCAGGGGAGCCAGUCCUCUUCAGAUCAGAGACACAUAGAGCUCAGGGUGGAUAUAGGACAUGUAAGAAGAUAGAACUGGCCUGUCUCAUUCGGAACCACAUUUAUAUCUCUCAACAUGUCUGCAUCCACAUCCUGGGUGUGCUCCUGAUGUGAACUCACAAGCAAGGUGUAUUCCAGACCUCAGCCCACAGAACUAAGAGUUUGAUUUUCCAUCCCAGGAUGUGCUUUUUAUUCCACUCAUUAUACAGCCCGUUAUACUUCUGAUCACAGUCUCCGCCUCCCCUGCCCCCCACCCCCCCCCACUGUACUGCUCAGAAAACAACCUGAGGUUUCCUGUUCCUCAGGACCAUGUCUGGUUUCAACCCUCGGAGAGAGCUUUCACCCCUGUUUGAACAGAAAAGUGUCACAAAAUGCAAGAAAGGGACUGUCAAAGACACUAUUUUCACCUUGGGAAAUUAGGACGUUGUGAGGAGUCCCCAGUCAGCGGCAAAGCACAGGUCCUCGGAGAAGCACAAGGGGAGUUCUUGUACAUCCUCUUUUUUUUCCCUCGGCUGAGGAGGUGUCUCCCAGCACUCACAGCCCUGCAGUGAAGCAUGUCCACACAGCCCUUGCAGGGGUCAUUCCUUAACAGCUGCGGGGCAGCUGGUGCCACCAUUCUAGUCCUGGCUGUUGUGUCCUGCUCCCUGUUCUCUUGGGGCAUCUGGGAUAAAUGAAGGGAAGGGGAGCCCAGGGAUGAAGGCAGCAAGAUUGAGCUUCCAAGUGAGGGAGGUACAGCAGAGCCUGCUUACUGUGUGUGCUGUGUGUGUUGCACGUCCUGCAACACCGUGUUGGGGGCUGCAUGUUGGAAAUGAGUUUGCAUCAGAAUAAAAACAUGAGAAGACAA